CUACAAUCAUCAGCACCCAGGAGAAAAGAAAACUGAAUCCAACACCACUGAAAAAGAAAUAAGUUGAAUAAGUUUUUGCUUUUUAAGAACAAAGUAUAUAUACUUGAGGCCAACAGCAAAGCCAACAG